rnacentral:rRNA from 1 species
AGCGCAGACGGUUAUUUAAGCAAGAUGUGAAAGCCCCGGGGCUCAACCUGGGAACUGCGUUUUGAACUGGGUAACUAGAGUGUGUCAGAGGGGGAUAGAAUUCCACGUGUAGCAGUGAAAUGCGUAGAGAUGUGGAGGAAUACCGAUGGCGAAGGCAGCCCCCUCGGGAUAACACUGACGUUCAUGCUCGAAAGCGUGGGUAGCAAACA